AAUUGAAAAUGCUCUUAAAUUGCGCAAUCUCUCAAAGACGAGAUGGGUGUAUAGAAGUGAAUCAAUUGAAGCGUUAUGUUUAUGAGGUUUAUCAUGAGAAAGACCAAGAUCCUGACAGUACAGAUGCAGAAGCCAGAGCUCAAUAUCCUUGAUGGUCUUCAACUGAUUGAUGAAACUUUUAGAUCACUGGAAAGAAUACGGCACAAUGAAUCGGAAUUGAAUGACCAAAUAGAUGCGAGUGUUGAGUUUGCGAAGACUCUAGGCUCUAAUCCCGAGGAAGAGUUUGCUAGAAAGAGUAAUAAAAGAUUAAGUAGACGUUUGGAUGACAACCCUGAGACUUUGGCAAUUAUGUCACUAAAAACUAACUAUCGAAAAUGCAUGAUUGAGGUCCUCGAUUCCCUCAUCAGAGAAUGUAGAGAUAACAUAAAAAGUUGUUUGCAAAAAAUAAAACCCUUAGCU